UACGUAGGGUGCAAGCGUUGUCCGGAAUUAUUGGGCGUAAAGCGCUCGCAGGUGGUCCGUCGCGUCGUGCGUGAAAGCCCCCGGCUCAACUGGGGAGUGUCGUGCGAUACGGGCGGACUGGAGGCCAGUAGGGGGAUGCGGAAUUCCGGGUGUAGUGGUGGAAUGCGUAGAGAUCCGGAGGAACACCAGCGGCGAAGGCGGCAUCCUGGACUGGUCCUGACACUCAUGAGCGAAAGCGUGGGGAGCGAACAGG
rnacentral:rRNA from 1 species